rnacentral:pre_miRNA from 4 species
UCUUAUGGACGAGAAAGAAAGUAGUUUCUUGAGAUAAAAUCUACUUCUGGUAAAGAUACUGUGAA